rnacentral:misc_RNA from 1 species
AAGUCGUAACAAGGUUUCCGUAGGUGAACCUGCGGAAGGAUCAUUAACACGUAUCCACGUAUCCACCCAAAGCGAAUCCGUUUCCAUCUCCCUCUAUAGCAGAGAACGAAUCGAGUCGACAGCGAAGUGCGAGUGGGACCUUACAGGGUCUAUUGGCUGUUCACCAACUGAGGCUUCGGCCUCGACGAUUGCAUCUCUGUGGAGGCUAAUUUCUUACUACUGCGGUUUCCACCUCUGCCGUGGUAGUGAGGAGACUUUCUUCCAAACCUAUCUCACCCCUUUUUGCUAGUUGACUUUUAUAUGUUGUUCCUUGCGCUUUGCGCAUGGAGCACACGUUUAAUUAUUUGAACGUUAAAAAUACAACUCUUAGCAAUGGAUAUCUUGGUUCUC